GACGAACGCUGGCGGCGUGCUUAACACAUGCAAGUCGAACGAUGAAGCCCAGCUUGCUGGGUGGAUUAGUGGCGAACGGGUGAGUAACACGUGGGCAACCUGCCCCAAACUCUGGGAUAACUCCUCGAAAGAGGUGCUAAUACCGGAUACGAACUAGGUAGACAUCUGCACUAGUUGGAAAGUUUUUCGGUUUGGGAUGGGCCCGCGGCCUAUCAGCUUGUUGGUGAGGUAACGGCUCACCAAGGCUACGACGGGUAACCGGCCUGAGAGGGCGACCGGUCACACUGGGACUGAGACACGGCCCAGACUCCUACGGGAGGCAGCAGUGGGGAAUAUUGCGCAAUGGGCGAAAGCCUGACGCAGCGACGCCGCGUGAGGGAUGAAGGUCUUCGGAUCGUAAACCUCUUUCAGUAGGGACGAAGCGAAAGUGACGGUACCUAAAGAAGAAGCACCGGCUAACUACGUGCCAGCG
rnacentral:rRNA from 1 species